rnacentral:rRNA from 1 species
AGUGAACGCUGGCGGUAGGCCUAACACAUGCAAGUCGAACGGCAGCACAGUAAGAGCUUGCUCUUACGGGUGGCGAGUGGCGGACGGGUGAGGAAUACAUCGGAAUCUACUUUUUCGUGGGGGAUAACGUAGGGAAACUUACGCUAAUACCGCAUACGACCUACGGGUGAAAGCAGGGGAUCUUCGGACCUUGCGCGAUUGAAUGAGCCGAUGUCGGAUUAGCUAGUUGGCGGGGUAAAGGCCCACCAAGGCGACGAUCCGUAGCUGGUCUGAGAGGAUGAGUAGCCACACUGGAACUGAGACACGGUCCAGACUCCUACGGGAGGCAGCAGUGGGGAAUAUUGGACAAUGGGCGCAAGCCUGAUCCAGCCAUACCGCGUGGGUGAAGAAGGCCUUCGGGUUGUAAAGCCCUUUUGUCGGGAAAGAAAAGCAGCAGGUUAAUACCCCGCUGUUCUGACGGUACCCAAAGAAUAAGCACCGGCUAACUUCGUG